GGCGAACGCUGGCGGCGUGCCUAACACAUGCAAGUCGAGCGAUGAAACCCUUCGGGGUGGAUUAGCGGCGGACGGGUGAGUAACACGUGGGUAACCUGCCUCAAAGAGGGGGAUAGCCUCCCGAAAGGGAGAUUAAUACCGCAUAACAUUAGUUUUUCGCGUGAAGGACUAAUUAAAGGAGUAAUCCGCUUUGAGAUGGACCCGCGGCGCAUUAGCUAGUUGGUGAGGUAAAGGCUCACCAAGGCGACGAUGCGUAGCCGACCUGAGAGGGUGAUCGGCCACAUUGGAACUGAGACACGGUCCAGACUCCUACGGGAGGCAGCAGUGGGGAAUAUUGCACAAUGGGCGAAAGCCUGAUGCAGCAACGUCGCGUGAGUGAUGAAGGCCUUCGGGUUGUAAAGCUCUGUCUUUUGGGACGAUAAUGACGGUACCGAAGGAGGAAGCCACGGCUAACCACGUGCCAGCCGCCGCCGUAAUAC
rnacentral:rRNA from 1 species